rnacentral:rRNA from 1 species
GAUGAACGCUGGCGGCGUGCCUAAUACAUGCAAGUAGAGCGAACGGACGGGAGGCUUGCCUUUCUGAUGUUUUCGGCGGGGGGGUGAGUAACACAGGUAUAACCCAUCUAUAAGGCUGGGAUAAAUUCGAGAAAAUGGAGAUAAUACCGGAAAAUAAUAUGAACCACAUGAUUCAAAAAUAAAAUGCAAUCUUGCUAUCACCUAAUGAUCGAUCGGCGCUUCAUUAGGUUGUUGGUAAGAUAACGGCUAACCAAGGCAACGAUGAAUAGACGCCCUGAGAGGGGGACGGGCCACAUGGGAACUGAGACACGCCCCAGACCCCUCCGGGGGGAGGCAGUAGGGAAUCUUCCGCAAUGGGCGAAAGCCUAACGGAGCAACGCCGCGGGAGUGAGGAAGUUUUUCGGACCUUAAAACUUUUUUAAUGGGGAGGACCAGAUGUGUAAGUAACUGUUCACAUCUUGACGGUACCUUAUCAGAAAGCCACGGCUAACUACGUG